GCGGCCCGCGGGCUCGGAUGCU
rnacentral:miRNA from 2 species